rnacentral:lncRNA from 1 species
CCUGGUUUAAUAAGGACUUGUUUAUUUUGAGGAAAAAAGGUCCCAAACAUCAGGCUGUUCACAAAAAUAACCCACAGUAUCAACUUUAGAAAACAAAUCUUAAGACUAUAACACUAAUUAUUUUUCUAGAGGAUGCAUUUGACAUGCCAACUCUCAUUCACAAAAAUACAUUGUUACAUUUGUGUUGAACUGCCCCACACAGCACACUAAUGUGGGGGUGUAACACACAUACUUCUAACUCAAAGCUGCUUUCAAGAGCUACUCAACUAAAUGAGAUUGCCUUUGCAGUUAGGGAAGCAACUACUGAACUUAUGUAUGAAUGAAAAGAACUGUACUCCCUGCAUAACAAGAGAUUAUUUUGGAGACAGUUGAUAAAAACCAUACAUCAUUUUUAUUGUUAAGUCAUAAAGAGGUAUCAAAAUUAAAAGCAAAAAUUACAGGGUAAGACUUAACAAAACUACUAGGAGCGUCAAAGGAAGUGAAAAUGGGACUAGGCGCGGGGCAAUAUGAAUUAAUUAAUGAACAUGGGAAGGACAAGGAUGGGGAAAACAGUGAGCAUGUGCUGAAGAUACUAGGGGAGAGGAUCUGGUGAAAAAUUUGAUCUUAGACAAGCGCCUAGGUAAAGAAAUAAUGGGAUAAGAUUUCUAAACCCCACUAUGUGCUUAAGAGUCAUCCUCGCCAUUGGCGCUGUCUCUGUCAUCCUCUCCUUCCUCAGCCUCUUUUUCAUCAUCCUUGAUCAACUCCAGCUGGUCAUCCCCCCAUCUUCAUUAUCAUCAUCAUCCAGUAGGUCCCCCUCCUCAGCAGAGUCAUCUGCACCCCCCUCAGACUCCAUCUUCACAUUAGUCUCAUCUUUCUUCACGGAGCUGCUGCUCUGCUCCUCUUCUGACUUAACAUUGUUCAUCUCUACUGCUUGUUUGCUCUGUUCCUUUUCAAUUUUUUCCAGGUUUUCCAGGAAAGAAUCCACUUUUUGUUUUAUCUGGGUCAGCUCCCUCUUAAUGGCCUGAAGGUCAUCUCCUUUCAACUUUCCAGACUUGGAAGAUCCCCGCUGUCCACUCUUAGAAUUGAAGCCACUUAUGCCCCUUUGUGAAGUGUUUCCUGAUACACGCUGACGUUUCGAGGGCACUACAGCCCGAGCAAUAGGAGGAGGAGGAGGUACACGUGCUGGGUAACUGUACAUCCUAUCAUAAUAGUCCCGUUGAAAGUCACAAUCCAAGUCAAAAGAGGAGCCGUACAUCUCCGCUGCAGAUCGUUUCACACCUGCUUUUCCUCGGUUCACUUUUGGCUCUGCAGCCAGGUUAAUAUCUAAAACCUGGCCAGCAAUCAUUCUGCCAUCCUCUCCUGCUACAGCAGCCCGGGCAUUUCUCUCAUUAACAUACUGAAAGAAGGCAAAGCCCUUAUGAACAGAGCAGCCCACAAUUUUGCCAUACUUCGAAAAGAUUGCCUCCACAUCAGAUUUCUUGACCACAAGAGUGUUGAGAUUCCCAAUGAAUACACGGGAGUUCAUGGAACGAGGAUCUGUCUUGUUGGUAACGUUGCUGGCCAUUGUGUUUGAUGGGUCUCACUUUGUUGCCCAGGCUGGUGUGCAGUGGCACGAUCUUGGCUCACUGCAACCUCCGUCUCCUGAGUUCCUGAUUCUUAUGCCUCAGCCCCUGGAGUAGCUGGGACUAUAGGCAUGUACCACCGUGACUGGGAAUCUAGCGCUUCAGGAUUAUGUGCACUCUUGCUAAUCCAAGUGUUAUCCCUGAACCAGCAGCAUCAGCAUCACCAGAGAACUUGCUGGAAAUGCAGAAUAUCAGACUCUACCCCAGACCUACUUAAUCAGAGAAGCCCAGAGAGAUUCAUAUGCACAUUAAAGUUGGAGAAGUCCCAUACUCAUAUACUAGCAUAAACAGAGUAUCCUCAAACUCAUAACAAAGAAACCUACAAAACAUGAAGUACUGUCCUUUCAAUUUAGGGGCAGAGGAUUGGACAUUUUAUUUUAUUUUUUUAUGGGGGAAUACAGCUAAAACUGAAUUGCUUCAAUAAAGUCUUUGACAAUUUAAAAGCUGAAUGUGUGUGUGUGGCUGGGAAUCUUGUUUUCAUCUGGGAUCAAGAAUUAUUACUAUGUAUAUGGGGAAGUGUUUCUUCUACAACAGCUAUUGACUAAGAAAACUAAGGAGAAA